AUACGUAGGGGGCAAGCGUUAUCCGGAUUCAUUGGGCGUAAAGAGCGCGUAGGCGGAUUGUUAAGUCAGAUGUGAAAACUGGGGGCUCAACCCGCAGCCUGCAUCUGAAACUGGUAGUCUUGAGUCUGGUAGAGGAAAGUGGAAUUCCCAGUGUAGCGGUGAAAUGCGCAGAUAUUGGGAGGAACACCAGUGGCGAGGGCGGCUUUCUGGGCCACGACUGACGCUGAGGCGCGAAAGCUGGGGGAGCGAACAGGAUUAGAUCCCCUGGUAGUCCUAGCCGUAAACGAUGGGCACUAGGUGUGGGGGGUUAUCAACUCCCUCCGUGCCGCAGCUAACGCAUUAAGUGCCCCGCCUGGGGAGUACGGCCGCAAGGCUAA
rnacentral:rRNA from 1 species